rnacentral:rRNA from 1 species
UGGGGAAUCUUGCACAAUGGAGGAAACUCUGAUGCAGCGACGCCGCGUGAGCGAAGAAGCCUUUCGGGGUGUAAAGCUCUUACGCCAGGGACGAUAAUGACGGUACCUGGAGAAGCAGCUGCGGCUAACUACGUGCCAGCAGCCGCGGUAAUACGUAGGCAGCAAGCGUUGUUCGGAAUUACUGGGCGUAAAGGGUGCGUAGGCGGCGCUCUAAGUUUGGUGCGAAAUCUCCCGGCUUAACUGGGAGGGUGCACUGAAAACUGGGGCGCUCGAGUAUGGGAGAGGAAAGCGGAAUUCCUGGUGUAGCGGUGAAAUGCGUAGAGAUCAGGAGGAACACCUGCGGUGCAGACGGCUUUCUGGACCAUCACUGACGCUGAGGCACGAAAGCGUGGGUAGCAAACA